rnacentral:rRNA from 1 species
CCAGACUCCUACGGGAGGCAGCAGUGAGGAAUAUUGGUCAAUGGCCGAGAGGCUGAACCAGCCAAGUCGCGUGAGGGAAGACGGCCCUACGGGUUGUAAACCUCUUUUGUCGGGGAGCAAAGCGAACCACGUGUGGUUCAUUGAGAGUACCCGAAGAAAAAGCAUCGGCUAACUCCGUGCCAGCAGCCGCGGUAAUACGGAGGAUGCGAGCGUUAUCCGGAUUUAUUGGGUUUAAAGGGUGCGCAGGCGGAAGAUCAAGUCAGCGGUAAAAUUGAGAGGCUCAACCUCUUCGAGCCGUUGAAACUGGUUUUCUUGAGUGGGCGAGAAGUAUGCGGAAUGCGUGGUGUAGCGGUGAAAUGCAUAGAUAUCACGCAGAACCCCGAUUGCGAAGGCAGCAUGCCGGCUUCCGACUGACGCUGAAGCACGAAAGCGUGGGGAUCGAACAGGAUUAGAUACCCCCGUA